AGCAGAGGGGGCUUAGUGGUGGGGUGACUGCGUACCUUUUGUAUAAUGGGUCAGCGACUUAUAUUCUGUAGCAAGGUUAACCGCAUAGGGGAGCCGGAGGGAAACCGAGUCUUAACCGGGCGUUAAGUUGCAGGGUAUAGACCCGAAACCCGGUGAUCUAGCCAUGGGCAGGUUGAAGGUUGGGUAACACUAACUGGAGGACCGAACCGACUAAUGUUGAAAAAUUAGCGGAUGACCUGUGGCUGGGGGUGAAAGGCCAAUCAAACCGGGAGAUAGCUGGUUCUCCCCGAAAGCUAUUUAGGUAGCGCCUCGUGAAUUCAUCUCCGGGGGUAGAGCACUGUUUCGGCCAGGGGGCCAUCCCGGCUUACCAAUCCGAUGCAAACUGCGAAUACCGGAGAAUGUUAUCACGGGAGACACACGGCGGGUGCUAACGUCCGUCGUGAAGAGGGAAACAACCCAGACCGCCAGCUAAGGUCCCAAAGUCAUGGUUAAGUGGGAAACGAUGUGGGAAGGCCCAGACAGCCAGGAUGUUGGCUUAGAAGCAGCCAUCAUUUAAAGAAAGCGUAAUAGCUCACUGGUCGAGUCGGCCUGCGCGGAAGAUGUAACGGGGCUAAACCAUGCACCGAAGCUGCGGCAGCGAACGUAUCACCCAAGACAACUUUACACAGUUGACGCCUGACGGAGCGAAGCGACGUCAAAGCGUUUUACAACGUCGAGUUGGCUUAGGGAUACGUUCGUUGGGUA
rnacentral:rRNA from 1 species